UACGGAGGGGGCAAGCGUUGUUCGGAAUCACUGGGUGUAAAGGGUGCGUAGGCGGUCCGUUAAGUCUGAUGUGAAAGCCCUGGGCUCAACUCAGGAAUUGCAUUGGAAACUGGCGGGCUGGAGUACGGGAGAGGGAAGCGGAAUUCCUGGUGUAGCGGUGAAAUGCGUAGAUACCAGGAGGAACACCGGUGGCGAAGGCGGUUUCCUGGCCCAGUACUGACGCUGAGGCACGAAAGCGUGGGGAGCGAACAGG
rnacentral:rRNA from 1 species